rnacentral:lncRNA from 1 species
CUUAGCUCUGACUUGUAGUACUGAAGUGUUCAUUUGGGAAUAGAUGCACGAACCGAAAUGAUGUCCAUUUUCACUCCAGAGUGACCGAUCACUUAAAGCUCUCACAAGUGCAUCCGUGUGUGGUUAAAAUGAGCUGAAAUCUGGAGCUCUGUGGAGGUGAUUAGAAAGAUUUAAUCAGGCACUGCAUUAUGUUACAUCAUCCUGGUGCUGAUAUCUGAACCUGAGAGAUGAGAGUCUGGGCUGCCCAGCAGCAGUGGGGAUCGGGGAUGGGGUGGGAUGCAGGGAGAGAAGCACUUGCUUGGACCAAGAACAAGUGAGCCCAGUGUGGGAAGAUGAGCCUUUUCCCAUGAUGGAUUGAGCCAUGGAGUGUGCUGCAACCUGGCAUCCUGGCUGGAACGUCCGCUUAACCCUGGGGGUUGCUGCUCAUUUCUGUGUUCAGGCCUUCCUUCCCUCUUGCUUGUUUAAACAUGGAUAAUCUCCUUGGUACAAUGGGUAUUUGUUGUUGGACUUAGCAGUAAAGCUCCUGCAAAGCUCGGGGUGAAGGCAGGGAGCAGCUGGCAACGUGUUCCUCUGAGGGCUUCUGCUCUUGUCCCCGCUCACCUCUUCAUCUCAUCCCUUUCUUUGCACUGCUGUCUCUUGGUUCUCCUCAUUGCUCUCCCUUGUCACGUCUGUGUUCCAGGUACCUGCUGUCCAAACUGCAUGGUUCCUUGCUGUGACACCAGACCCUCACGGGGCAUCCCUGCCCAAAGCAGGUAUGAGGCACUCAUCUGAGCACUGCAUCCAGGAGCACAGGUUGCACCUCGCCCUGCUUUUGAAGGCUUUGACUGGUGUGAGACCUGCUCAGGAAUGGCUGGAAGGAAUUCAGGGACAGAGGCGAUAAGGUAAGGCAGCUCUGACACGGUAGAGAUGAGAAAUUUUGCACUUUGUCAUAGGCUAAUGGAAACAAUAGCAGGAAUGGAAGCUGACUGGUUGCUUUUUAAAAGCAGAGAAAAUAAAAUGAUGCAUGAAAUGGCA